rnacentral:rRNA from 1 species
UACGAAGGGGGCUAGCGUUGCUCGGAAUCACUGGGUGUAAAGGGUGCGUAGGCGGGUCUUUAAGUCAGGGGUGAAAUCCUGGAGCUCAACUCCAGAACUGCCUUUGAUACUGAAGAUCUUGAGUUCGGGAGAGGUGAGUGGAACUGCGAGUGUAGAGGUGAAAUUCGUAGAUAUUCGCAAGAACACCAGUGGCGAAGGCGGCUCACUGGCCCGGUACUGACGCUGAGGUGCGAAAGCGUGGGGAGCAA